rnacentral:rRNA from 1 species
GUGUCAGCAGCCGCGGUAAUACGGAGGGAGCAAGCGUUACUCGGAAUUAUUGGGCGUAAAGGGCGCGUAGGCGAUUCAAAAAGUCAACUGUGAAAGCCCAGGGCCUAACCCUGGAAGUGCAGCUGAUACUGUUGAAUUUGAGUUCCGGAGAGGAAGGCAGAAUUCCCGGUGUAGCGGUGAAAUGCGUAGAUAUCGGGAGGAAUACCAGUGGCGAAGGCGGCCUUCUGGACGGAUACUGACGCUGAGGCGCGAAAGCCAGGGGAGCAAACGGGAUUAGAAACCCCCGUAGUCC